rnacentral:lncRNA from 1 species
AGAAGAUCAAAAUUAUCAAAUAGAUGAUAAUCUCAAAAAUGUACUUAGAUAUGAGCUAGCCUCCUUCUUUGACCUUGAUGCCAAUCUCUCAGAGCCAAUUACUCCUAAUUGAAUCGUUACUUUGCUCUCAAAUUUUAUAUAUUUAUUAAAAAUCAAGCUGACCACCUUUGUGAAAUUUUUCGCCUUAAUCUAACUGGCGGAUUGAUAGAUAUCUAAGAAAACCUCACUAGUCCUCAAAAUCCUGAAUUUCAAAACUAUAAUCCUCAAAAACCUUCAUACUUUUUAAUAUAGGCAUUCGAUCCAACUCAAAUUCAUAGCACACAUCUUGUACAACUACACACUCAAAUCCAAAAAAAUUCAUCCAUAGAUCUAUUACCAAACUUUUGAAAUUAUCCAAAUUAUCAACUCUAUUUUAUUUUCCAAAAAUCAAAGUUACUAAAAAUAACAUUGACUUUGCAAAGCUCUUACAAAGUUAUUACUUAUUCAAAUCCUUCAAAAUUAGUGCCUAUAGAAAUUCUAUGAAGUAUUUCCUCCAAUUUCACUCUAUGAUCAAUAAAAGAAAUCUUGAAUCAUAGUUGAGACUUAGUUUUGUGCCUUGAGAUCUGUUUUCAACUCAAGUUCAUAACCAGCCCUUUUUGGAUAU